GUAGGUGGCAAGCGUUAUCCGGAAUUAUUGGGCGUAAAGCGCGCGCAGGCGGUUUCUUAAGGUCUGAUGUGAAAGCCCACGGGCUCAACCGUGGACGGUCAUUGGAAACUGGGGAACUUGAGUGCAGAAGAGAAAAGCGGAAUUCCACGUGUAGCGGUGAAAUGCGUAGAGAUGUGGAGGAACACCAGUGGCGAAGGCGGCUUUUUGGUCUGUAACUGACGCUGAGGCGCGAAAGCGUGGGGAGCAAACAGGAUUAGAUACCCUGGUAGUCCACGCCGUAAACGAUGAGUGCUAAGUGUUAGAGGGUUUCCGCCCUUUAGUGCUGCAGCUAACGCAUUAAGCACUCCGCCUGGGGAGUACGGUCGCAAAGACUG
rnacentral:rRNA from 1 species